rnacentral:tRNA from 1 species
AGAGAAUUGAGUGAGCGGUUUAUACUGAUUGUCUUGAUUACAAUAAUGGAUUAUUUCCAUCAUGGGUUCGAAUCCCAUAUUCUCUGC